UCAGCUGUCCCUCUGCCACUCGUCCUUGCGCAGGGAAGUGGCACUUAAGUUACCUAUCGCGUUUCGUCCGCUCUCUUUCCAACGGAAGCCCGGCCGAAGCGCGCUGCUCUGCGGAGUCUCUCCCUGGGGCUCCGGCCUCCCCCGGCCCUCGGUAAGGUAGAAAACCUUCCAGGUCAAAGAUGAAGACAAACCUUUAGCGGCGAAAAAAACCGAGAAAGAGCAGGAGGCUCCGGAUGCCCCGAGCGCAGGG